rnacentral:rRNA from 1 species
AACGAACGCUGGCGGCAUGCCUAACACAUGCAAGUCGAACGAGACCUUCGGGUCUAGUGGCGCACGGGUGCGUAACGCGUGGGAACCUGCCCUUAGGUUCGGAAUAACUCCCCGAAAGGGGUGCUAAUACCGGAUAAUGUCCUCGGACCAAAGAUUUAUCGCCUUUGGAUGGGCCCGCGUUGGAUUAGCUAGUUGGUAGGGUAAAAGCCUACCAAGGCGACGAUCCAUAGCUGGUCUGAGAGGAUGAGCAGCCACACUGGGACUGAGACACGGCCCAGACUCCUACGGGAGGCAGCAGUGGGGAAUAUUGGACAAUGGGCGGAAGCCUGAUCCAGCAAUGCCGCGUGAGUGAUGAAGGCCUUAGGGUUGUAAAGCUCUUUUACCCGGGAUGAUAAUGACAGUACCGGGAGAAUAAGCUCCGGCUAACUCCGUG